rnacentral:rRNA from 1 species
UACGGGGGGGGUAAGCGUUGUUCGGAAUUACUGGGCGUAAAGGGCUCGUAGGCGGCCAACUAAGUCAGACGUGAAAUCCCUCAGCUUAACUGGGGAACUGCGUCUGAUACUGGAUGGCUUGGAUUCGGGAGAGGAAUGCGGAAUUCCGGGUGUAGCGGUGGAAUGCGUAGAGAUCCGGAAGAACACCUGAGGCGAAGGCGGCUUGCUGGGCCUGGUCUGACGCUGAGGCGCGAAAGCGUGGGGAGCAAACAGG